rnacentral:rRNA from 1 species
GACGAACGCUGGCGGCGUGCUUAACACAUGCAAGUCGAACGGAAAGGCCCUGCUUUUGUGGGGUGCUCGAGUGGCGAACGGGUGAGUAACACGUGAGUAACCUGCCCUUGACUUUGGGAUAACUUCAGGAAACUGGGGCUAAUACCGGAUAGGAGCUCCUGCUUCAUGGUGGGGGUUGGAAGGUUUCGGCGGUUGGGGAUGGACUCGCGGCUUAUCAGCUUGUUGGUGGGGUAGUGGAUUACCAAGGCUUUGACGGGUAGCCGGCCUGAGCGGGUGACCGGCCACAUUGGGACGGAGAUGCGGCCCAGCCUCCUCCGGGAGGCAGCAGUGGGGAAUAUUGCACAAUGGGCGGAAGCCUGAUGCAGCAACGCCGCGUGCGGGAUGACGGCCUUCGGGUUGUAAACCGCUUUCGCCUGUGACGAAGCGUGAGUGACGGUAAUGGGUAAAGAAGCACCGGCUAACUACGUG